rnacentral:lncRNA from 1 species
CUUCAUUUUUGAUCAGUCUAAAUCACCCAAAUAUUUGAUACAAGUUUCUGAAGCAAUCAGUAACUCUCAAGGCAAAGCCAAGUAUUCUUCAUUUUUAAAUGGUAUAAAAUUAUAAAUCACCCAAGUAUUUGUACACCAUCUGAACUCUGAGCAGAUACUGCAUGAGUAAUAUAAUGCAUAGGUCAGUUACCUUUUUGCUGAUGUAUUGGUAAAAUUUGCAGCAUCCACAUAUACAAAAUGGUCAUAAUAGCCGCAAAUCGUUGCAAGAGAAAACCUAGAAUUAUGAAUGAUCACACCAUUUCUUUCUUGUCUGUGGAGAAGUUGUACCACAGGCAGAAGUUUUGACCAUCUCUUUUGGAAGUUGAGGUAUUUGAUUGAAUAGCCAAAGAUCAAUUGGCUAUCUCUUUUGGAAGUUGAGGUAUUUGAUUGAAUAGCCAAUUGGCUAUUUCUUUUGGAAGUUGAGGUAUUUGAUUGAAUAGCCAAAGAUCAAGAAGAAGAGUAGGACAAAACCCAAAUGAGCGAGAGCCACACAACCCAGGAAGCUGUGCUGGAAACCCAAGUUGUCUUUCAAGAAUUGCUUCACCGUAAGGCUACCUGCUCCAGGAAUGGCAACCAAGUCGUCCUUCGUCCCCAGUUGCGAUGACACAAUGCCAUAAAUCGUCCACGAUACGGGAUCACCCCAGUAGUACCACCUCCACCAGACAGGAAUCAGC